CUGCACCAAUCUAAAGAGAGCUCGAGUGAACUAAUUUCUGUUAUCAGUAGGGAAUUAUUGCUCAGAAUAAUCGAUGGAUAGCACUCAUAAAUUUUGAUGUCCCAUGUCCCAUGUCUAUCAAGAAAGCAACACAUUUUUCCACGACACUGAAAAAGAAAAUUCAUUUUAUUCAGUGGGAUAGCGGAGAAAAUAACAAAAUAAAUCAUAAUUCAGCUGCGCCACAAGGCCCAGUCCCACAACUCACAAGCUAGAAAAAUCUCUAAACACGCAAAUUAAUAUCUCCCGAAAUGAUAGAGAGAAAAUGAAAAGCUAAUUUAGAUAAUAAAUUGCAGAAAUAAAAUUAACUGGAAAAUAAAAAUAAAGUGGAAAGAACGGUUCAAUAAGUUAGAAUGAACAUUGCCAAAGCACUCCCAAUUUUAAUUUUUUGUUCCAAAAUUUGCUAGAAACUAUGCCGUAUAAAGAAAUGUUCUUCCACUUCUAUAAAAUAAAAUAUUUUUCCAAGAAAAGAUUCUCUUAUAAUUUUGAACUUCAACCAACAGCAACCUAACGGAAAAUUCUACUAUGCAUAGUGCAGUUCUCUACCUUCUUCUCGUUCUCAAUCCCCUUCUUUCAACCAUUGCAAUCCAAAACAGGUCGCCUUACACCCCUACGGAUCGAAUACUCCUAAAUAGCGGUGCACCAGAUGGAGAACAGUCAAUGGAUGGCCGGAACUGGGAGAGUGAUGCCGAUCAGCAGUCCAAAUACUGUCCUAUGAACUCUGAAACCUCUGCAGCUUCUAAAGCCUCCCAACAAGAUCCUUCUGUUACUCAGGUACCCUACAUGACUGCUCGAAUCAUUCGCUCUAAAUACACUUGCAUGUUUCCUGUCUCAAUGGGACCCAAGUUUAUCCGUCUUUACUUCUAUCCAAAUAGCUACUCAGGCCUCGACACAUCAACCUCCUUCUUCUCCGUCACGGCUAAUGGUUACACCCUUUUAAGUAACUUCAGUGCACAUUUAACUGUUUCUGCAAUGCAACCACCAGUUGCAUACUUGGUCAAGGAAUUUAUUAUCACUGUGCGGGAUAACCAAGGAGUUAUCAACUUAACUUUUACUCAGUCUCCAAAUUCUUUUGCUUUCAUUAAUGGCAUAGAAAUAGUUUCCAUGCCAACCAAUCUGUACACUAAAGAUAACGACUCUCCUUAUUCCUUUGUAAACGACAACAAUGUCCCCUUCUACUACUUCGACAACACCACCUCUCUUGAAACUGUUUAUCGGCUAAACAUUGGUGGUCCAAAUAUUGAGAAUGUAAACGAUACAGGAAUUUUUCGAACAUGGUCCAAUGAUUUGCUUCAUAUUUUUGGUGGUCUUGGAUAUGUGCAUCUGUGGCGCGAUGACGUCACAGUAAAAUACAGUAAGGAUACACCUACGUAUGUUGCACCGGAGGCUGUAUACAUUACCAAACGUACGAUGGGUGCAAAUUCUGUGGUAAACCAGAAUUCCAAUCUCACGUGGCUCUUUUUGGUUGAUUCUGGCUUCAAUUAUCUUCUCCGGCUCCAUUUUUGUGAAACUGAAAAAGAGAUCACUCAUGAAGGUCAAAGAGUGUUUUCCAUAUUUAUAAAUAACAUGACAGCUGAAGCAGAAGCAGAUGUGAUCCACUGGAGUGGGGGUAAUAGCAUUCCAGUCUACAAAGAUUACGUGAUUGGGGUCCCAGGAGGAGGAAGCCAAAGCAACCAGGACUUAUGGCUCGCUUUACACCCCACUGCCGAUCAUUCAACUUAUGCUGAUGUAAUCUUGAAUGUUCUAGAGAUAUUCAAGCUGAACAACUCAGACGGUAAUCUUGCUGGAUCCAACCCUGAACCGCUAAUGGUGGUUCCUCCAUCAUCACAACAACAAUCAAGCUUACAGGAGAUAACAAAGAGUAAAGGGUCAUCUGUUGUAGUUAUUGUUGGGGUUGUGAUAGGUGUAAUAUUUGCUCUUUCUGUUGCUCUAUUUUUCUUUAUCUACAAACGAAAAGGGAAAGGACCAAAAAGGAAAGCAAAUGAUACUGAUGGUUUUGGUAUAUCACUGCCAACUGAUCUUUGCCGUCGAUUUACAACGGCUGAAAUUAAAGCAGCUACAAGAAAUUUCGAAGAUCAGAACAUUAUUGGCUCUGGGGGUUUUGGUACUGUGUAUAAAGGCUAUAUUCAAAAUGAAUUCAUCCCAGUUGCAAUAAAAAGGCUAAAUUCAUCGUCAAAACAGGGGACUCGCGAGUUCCACACAGAGAUUGAGAUGUUGUCAAGGCUCAGACACAUUCAUCUCGUCUCUUUGAUUGGAUACUGCGAUGAUCAAGAUGAGAUGAUCCUUGUAUACGAGUACAUGCCGCAUGGGAGCCUUCAAGAUCAUCUAUACAGAACAAAUAACCCUCCUCUCCCAUGGAAGCAAAGACUACAAAUAUGUAUAGGAGCUGCAAAAGGGUUACAUUAUCUUCAUACAGGUGUAAAACACACCAUCAUCCACCGUGAUGUGAAGUCAUCAAACAUACUAUUGGGCAGGAAUUGGGUGGCCAAGGUUUCAGAUUUUGGCUUGUCAAAAACAGGUCCCACCAGUGAAGACGAAACCCAUGUCAGCACUGUUGUUAGAGGUAGUGUAGGCUACCUUGACCCCGAGUACUAUCGCAGGCAACACCUCACUGAGAAAUCUGAUGUCUACUCAUUUGGGGUAGUGUUGUUAGAAGUACUGUGCGCCCGGCCACCAAUCAUGUCAAACCUAAACAAAGAACAAGUGAACUUGGUUGAGUGGACAAGAAAAUGUUGUCGAAAAGGAACUCUUGAUCAGAUUAUUGACCCACAGUUGCAUGGUGAUAUCACAUCUGUCUCUUUAAACAAGUUUGUGGAGAUCGCUGAAAGUUGUGUGCGUGAAAAAGCAACUGAAAGGCCAAAAAUGUGUGAUGUGAUAUGGAGCCUUGAAUUUGCAUUGCAGCUUCAAGAAUUUGCUGAGAAAAAUUCCCAUGCAAGUGAUAUUGUCAGUGAGAACCAGAAAGAAUCAUCUAUGCCAUAUAAGGAGGUCGCUACCAUUGAUGAUGAUGAUGAUGAUAUUUACAUUCUCAGGUGGACCGAUUAGAGAUUCAAGGAGCACAAUUAGUACCGAAGAACGACUCUGAUGAAGUGAAAUCAGAUUUUUCAGAAACAAUUAAUGCGCGGGGAGAAUGAGUUAGAAAUAAACCCUAACGUAAGACGAAACUCGGAAAAUUUAUAUAGACCGGAUCCAUAAUCUCGCUCAUGGACUAAACUAACGGGAAUAAAGUUUUUUAUUUAAACGAGAGUAUUUUUUACUAUAGAUUGGAGAAAAAAAAGGAUAAAAUCAGAACAAUUUAAAAAAAAUUCUUGCUGUCAUUAGUUUGAUCCAUAACAUGGUUACAGACUCGGUCUAGACAAGUAAUUUGAGAUGUAUAAUAUGUGAUUCACUUUACUGUACUAAUGUUAUAAAAUACAUUAUCUUCAAUAUGUUCUGGUUCCAAGUAGACUUGCUCUUCGUUAUACAGUUGGGACUUUCAACUUUAUCCAUUUGGUUACCGCAAUUUUCCACACUGGCACCAGUUCUUAGCUUUUUAGUCCUUGCUAAUUAUUAUUUUAAUCAAUUUGAUGAUGUGCAAUAGUUCUCUUAUGUAUAUAGUUCGUAGUUAGCAUAACUUGGAUUCAAAUUCUUCCACCAUAAACGUGAUUUUGGUUUUAAUUUAUAUGUAUGCUUUAUGCUGGAGAUUAUCUAUAUAUUUUAAGGAAAUUACUUGUUUUAUUUAUUUUUAGUAUAUGGUUAAAAAUAGUGUCGUUUCAAUAAAAAAAUUUUAUUUUUAUUGUUUUAGUCCAUGCGAUGAGUACCUGGACCCGAUCUAGUUAAAAUUUUUUCUACAUCUUAAUAUUGACAAAUGCUUACGAGAAAUCAUUAUAAAGUCUUUCAAACUCACUUUUGGAUCUGUUCAUCCAAAAAAUCAAUUCUUAAACAUUAGUCAGACUCAUUUUACGAAACGUAAUUAUAUGCUCACUUUAGAUAGACACUUGUUUAUAAUAAACUGACAAGUUAAAUUUAUAAUAUGAAUAAAGUUUUAAACAUAAAAGACAUCAUUUUUUUUUAAAUUUAAAACGUAAAUGUAUUUUUUUAACUUUUAAUUAUUUAUUUAAUGAAAAUCUAGGGGAACAUAUAAUUGUGGUCCAUAUUUUCUUCGGUGGGCCCUGCAUACACUACCAAAUAUUUAACUUUUUUAUCACAAUUAAAAAUAAGAUUUUUUUUUUUUUUUAAACAAAAACGGGGAAUUGAAGAAUCUAAUUGGAUCCAAUAAAAUUGUAGUCCUCAGAUGACCAAACCAGGUAAGUUCAGUGGUCUAAAGGGGAUUUCCCCUAUUGCAUCCAUAUAUAAAGACGACCACAAUUUUUAGGCUUCAGCCUUCAGCCAAGCAACAAGUAUCUCAUAAAACUCCAUAAAGAGAGAAAUUUAGGCAAAAAGGCAGAACAGGUCAGCUGAAAUGAAAGGAGGGCAUAAUGCGUUGUCUUUAUCCGUUCUGCUAAUAAUUUUGAUCAUCUGCACAAAUACAUCAACGGGCAAAGUAGCAAUUUUUACCACUACAACAAUCAGUGAACCAUGGAAUUAUGGUAUCACUGAAUCCAUUGCAGAAGAAGAGCUCUUGAUGGAAUCCGGUGUGAGCCAGAGGCUUCUUCAAGCCUCUAACACGUGUACAGGAUAAUCCAUACCUAAAUAACUAACUCAACCACCUUACAGCCUGUCAACAAUCACCACACCACAGCCCAACAGCAAUAACUAACCAUUAGCCAAUCAUUGUCCAUCAUUGCUGAUUCAAUCAUUUCCAUUCAUUUAUUUCAGCAAUCUAAUCCAAUGUACAGAAUUUAUCUACCAAUUAGAUUUAGACAUUUAGCUAAAUUCUAGAUCAUUCUCUUUUUGUACAUAAAUUCACCCUGUAGUGGAACAUUAAUACUUGAGAAAUAAAAUAUAGAGCAAUAUUUUUUCUCCAAUAUUUGAAUUCAAAAGCUGUUAAACACGCCUUUGCAGCGAAAUAAAAUAUAAUAAUUGCCUUCCCAAAGCCAGGGAAAGUUCGCGCAUGUCAACUACGAUAGGUGCAGACAUUAGAUGAAUUUGACCAGAAGAAGACAUCAGCAGGUUCCAAUCAUAUAAUACCUAUUUUAUUGUUCUGAUUUAUGAAAACAUAUGCUUCUGUUUAAUUUAUGUAACUAUGCAUCAGUGUUAUUUGCAUCACUGUUAUUUAGCUACCCUAUAAUUAAAUAAGGCAAAAAUGUAACAACAAAGCUUUAGUUUAGUUUAGUUUAGUUUAGUCCCUCCUCUGUCCUUUUUUUAUUUUUUGCAAUUUUAAAGUACAAAUUUAUAAAGAAUCUGAUGGUGUAAGGAGAGAGAAGUUAUUAAAAGCUGGAUAGACAAAUUGAUUUCUUGUUACUGAAUCUAUCCAACCAAAAGCGUGAAUGCUUACACAUGCAGGACUUCAUUUAAGCAUCACUCAACCAAUUAACUUUAUACAGAAAUCUGCAAUGGCUUUGAAAAUGGAAAAACAAAAGAAAUAGGUGAAUUUCAAGCUCAUCAACUUGUAUUGAAAGAGAAAAAUGAUGAAUGGAUAUGUGAGAGAGGAGGUACUACAAUGACGACCACAACUUUUAGGCUUCAGCCAAAUAAGAGGCGCGCUGAUAUAAUUCCAUAUAGGGAGAAAUUAAGGCAAAAAAGAAAAAAAGGGAUCAGCUGAAAUGAAGAGAGGGUCUGUCGAAUUGUCUUUACCUGUUGUGCUAAUGAUACUGAUCAUCUGCAUAAAUGCUUCAACAACCAAAGCUGCAAUUUUAACCCGUAGAACAAUCAACGGAUCUUGGAAUGAUGAUAUGCCCGAAUUCAUUGCAGACGAAGAGCACAUGAUGGAAUCCAAUGUGAGCCAGAUUCGUCUUCAACAGAAUAAUUAUAUUACUUAUCCAGCAUUAAAUAAACAAGCAUUUUGCAGUGAAGGAAUUAAAUAUGGUUCUUGUCUUGGGAAGGAAAUGAAAAUUGUCAGGCCUUGUAAUGCCUACGAUCGUUGCAGAGGAGGUUCCCCAAGUUGACCAGAAGAAGACGACAUAAAUACAAAUACGGCAGGUUUAAAGCAUUCAUAUAUAGUGUGCGUGUGGAUCUGUAUUAUUCAUAAUUGUGAAUAAUAAGCCAUUGAAUUUUAAGGAAUUGUUCAUAAUUUUAAAACCUUAAACACUUACAUAUUUUCAAAUCUUAAAUUUCUAAUUUUACUGCACCAAUCUAAAGAGAGCUCGAAUGAACUAAUUUCUGUUAUCAGUAGUAAAUGGUUGCUCAAAAUAAUCGAUGGAUAGCACUCAUAAAUUUUGAUGUCCAAUGUCCCAUUUCUAUCAAGAAAGCAACACAUUUUUAAUGUCUACAAAGGAUCCAUCGAUGAUGGCGCCUUUACUGUCGCAAUCAAGCGAUUACAUUCAUCAUCAAAACAGGGAGCUCGCGAGUUCAAAACAGAAAUCCAGAUGCUUUCCAAGCUCCGUCACACGCAUCUCGUGUCUCUAAUAGGAUACUGUGAUGAUCCAGGCGAGAUGAUUCUAGUAUACGAGUUCAUGCACCGCGGGACUCUCCGUGAUCAUCUCUACAAAACCAAAAACCCUCCUCUUCCAUGGAAGCAAAGACUACAGAUCUGCAUCGGAGCUGCACAUGGACUGCAUCAUCUCCAUACAGGUGCGAAACACCCGAUCAUUCACCGCGACGUCAAGUCAACGAACAUACUGAUGGAUGAGAACUGGGUGGCUAAAGUUUCUGACUUUGGCUUGUCAAGAAUGGGUCCCACUAGCCAGUCCCAAACGCAAGUCAGCACUGUUGUCAGGGGUAGUGUUGGAUAUGUAGAUCCAGAGUAUUAUCGUAGGCAACACCUCACUGAAAAAUCUGACGUGUACUCAUUCGGAGUUGUUCUAUUGGAGGUAUUAUGUGCUAGGGCACCUGUAAUUCCAGGAUUACCCAAAGAGCAAGCGAAUUUAGCUGAUUGGGCUAGAAUCUGCUAUAGAAGAGGUGCACUCGAUCGAAUAAUGGACCCGCACUUGAGAGGUGAUGCUGAUCCUGCCUGUUUGGAGAAAUUUGGAGAGAUUGCGGAGAGCUGUUUGCGUGACAAUGGAGCACAAAGANNNNNNNNNNNNNNNNNNNNNNNNNNNNNNNNNNNNNNNNNNNNNNNNNNNNNNNNNNNNNNNNNNNNNNNNNNNNNNNNNNNNNNNNNNNNNNNNNNNNNNNNNNCGGGAAGCUGUUGUAACUACCGAUGAUGAUGAUAUAUUUAGCGUUUCAGGCGAACAAAAGUAGGACUCCAAGAGCACAGUUAGUAGUGGUGAAGGGAGUGCUGCUAAACUUGAUCCUGAUGGAUUUAAGUAAGUCUAAGUCUGUAUUUUCGGAAAUUAUGAAUCAAAUGGGAAGAUGAAAAUUGUAGUUAAAUCCAAUUGAUUUAAGCCUCUGGUAUGCUUAUUACAGUCUAUCAAAUUUUGCAUGGUUUUAGAAAGGAAUCCUGAGAGUAAAUGCUGAUGAUCUUUUUCCAAUUUGUAGUUACAAUAAGAAUGGACAAAAUUUGUUUAUACUCGACAAUGUGCUAUUAUACACAAUAAGACCUGCUCUGUUUUUUGUUUCUUAAAAAUGUUGUUUCCCGGUUACUGGGUUUUUAGUUGUUUGAAAGAAUUGCAAUUGGAUAAAUAUGGAGACUAAGAUCAUUACCGCUGCUCUAUUCUGCUAGUUUGAAUAUUUUCUNNNNNNNNNNNNNNNNNNNNNNNNNNNNNNNNNNNNNNNNNNNNNNNNNNNNNNNNNNNNNNNNNNNNNNNNNNUAUUUUCAUUAAUAUAAUUAAUAGUUUGAUAUGGACUUCUCUCCAAUGAUAUAAUUAAUCCAACUUCUUAAGAUCUGCAUUGCUCUGUUUGUGAAGGGUAUAAUUAUACUAUUUUGUUGUAAUUGUGGUUAUAGCUAUUCUAUUCACCAGGUCUUCCGCAGUGCUUUAUUUAAUUUGUAAUCAACAAGGUCUUUUUAAAAUCCAAUGGAUGACUUUCUACAUACUAGAAGUCUUCUUGCCCGACCCACUUUGUUGAUGUUACAUAUUUUGUCCAACCACAAUUAGACCUUACGGUCAGCCCCUUACUUUCUGAGCACGUACCACUUGAUUAAAUGAUGUAGUGCCAAAACUUGUCAAUAUUGAAGACCUGUUCAAGUCUUUGUUUACUCACAAAAAUGCUUUUUAAGUUAACAAUUAACAGUUCUUCAAAAGCUCUGAGAAGGACAUAGAGCUUGUGACUUCAGUAAUUUAGAUAAAAGAAAAGGGUGCGUGUGCUGGUGAUGAAUUAUAUUCUCUGAUUGAAUAAUAAAUUAUAUCUAGUUUUAUUAUGAUAAAAAAUCAAUCAUUUAUUAUAAUUUUUCUUUAAAAAAAUUAGUAGAAUUUUUUAUCACUUAAAUUUAAUUUUUAUUUAACUAUUGCGAAUACAGGAAUUGGAGAUAUAGAUCAACAUAUGCACAGUCAGGAGUGAAUUGGUAUAUUAUAUUGUCAUUAUCUCUAUAUAUUGUAUAUUUUUUCAUAUAUUUAUCAGAUAAUUAAUUAAUGGCAGUCAAUUAUUAGCUUAGUGCAAGUAUUUUUCUUAUGCCCCUAAACCUUUAUAAGUAUUUGGAACGGAAAGAAAUUAAAUUCAAAGUCCAAAACACAACAUCCAUGGGCUUCAUAAAUGUCUCAGUUUGUUCUUUGUUCUCUGUCUUUCUAAUCUUGACAAAAUUAAUUUCUCUCGCAUCUCUCUUUAUAAAUUUUCUCCCUUGCAUCACUGCUAUUAACAACUCGACGCCGUAUAAUCCAACAGAAAUCUUCCUGCUCAACUGUGGCGCAUCCUUCAACUCUACAUCACUGGAUGGAAGAAAUUGGGUUAGCGAUUUCAACUCCAAAUUUCUAGCCUCUAAUUCUCAAAACUCUUCACUUGCGUAUACAGCCUCCUAUCAAGAUCCCUCUGUAACCCAAGUGCCAUGCAUGACCGCACGUAUAUCUCAAUCCAAAUUCACCUACGUGUUUCCUGUCUCACCUGGCUCAAAAUUUGUUCGUCUCUACUUCUAUCCUGUUGCUUACUCCAAUCUUGAUAUCUCCAAAUCCUUCUUCUCCGUUGAAGCCAAUGACUACACACUUCUAAGCAACUUUAGUGCUUUUCUUAUGGUGACAGCUAUAGAGCCUCCAGUCGCUGCCAUUGUGAAAGAGUUUGUCGUUACUAUUCAGGAAAAACAGAUGCUUAACAUAACUUUUAAUCCAUCUCUGAAAUCUUUUGCCUUCAUAAAUGGUAUUGAAAUCGUUUCCAUGCCAGACAGUCUUUAUAUACACGGAAAUGAUAGCCCGCUGACAAAUGUUGGCAUUGACUAUCCCUUCUAUUUGGAUAAUACAACAGGUCUUGAGACUGUUUAUCGGUUAAAUGUUGGAGGACUGCAUAUCGACGGCUCAGGUGACACCGGAAUGUACAGGAAAUGGGUUCAAGACUCUAAUUAUAUUUUUGGUGCUGCAUUUGGAGUGGCGUCUAUUUCUAAAAUUAAAAUAAAUUAUACAAAGAGUACUCCGGCUUGGGUUGCUCCUGAAUUGGUAUAUAGUACUAUGCGUUCAAUGGGUCCUCAACCAAAAGUUAACAUUAAAUACAAUCUCACUUGGAUAUUCCCCGUUGAUACUGGAUUCAACUAUCUUGUUCGUCUCCACUUUUGUCAGACUGGAAAAGAAGUUACCGGUGCGUUUCAACUGGAAUUCUCCAUAUUCAUCAAUAAUCAAACAGCGGUAACUCAAGCAGAUGUAAUAUACUGGAGCGGUGGUAAAGGUGUUCCAGUGUACAAAGACUUCGUCAUAUGGAUUCCAGCAGGAAGCCCUAGCAAGCAGGACAUGUGACUCGAUUUACACCCAUCUGAGGAGCAUGAGUUUGCUGACGCGAUCUUGAACGGUUUGGAGAUAUUGAAGUUGAACAAUUCAGAAGGUAGUCUAGCAGGGCCAAACUCUGAACCAAUUCGAGUUCCUACAGAACCAGAUCAACAUCCAAGUUUAAAACAAAAUCGAAGGAGUAGACUAGCAUCACAGCUUUUGAUCAUUAAUGGAGCUGUCUUUGGUGGCAUAUUCUCUUUAAUUCUAUGUCUCUUAGCCUAUCAAAGAAGAAGGAAAGUUAAGGACUCUGCUACGAUCGACCACAUUUCUCUUUGGGCCCCAUUUUCGUACAAAUCUAAUAAGUCCACGACAAUUGCUUCACCAUUGCCAACAGAGCGUUGCCUUAGAUUUACAAUUCUCGAAAUCAAAGAAGCUACCAGAAAUUUUGACGAUCAAAACUUUAUAGGUUGUGGAGGAUUUGUAAUGUAUAUAAAGGAUACAUAGAUAAUGAAUCCAUCACAGUCGCUAUCAAACGGCUAGAUUCAUCAUCAAAGCAAGGGACUCGCGAAUUCACGACAGAAAUAGAGAUUUUGUCACAAGUCCGCCAUGUCAAUCUUGUAUCUUUGAUCGGAUAUUGCAUUGAUGAAGGUGAAAUGAUUCUCAUCUAUGAUUACCUUAUCAACGGCACACUUGGAGAACAUUUACAUGAAACAAACAAUGAUCCUCUUCCGUGGAAAAAAAGGCUCCACAUAUGCAUAGGGGCAGCACGCGGAUUGCAUUAUCUUCAUUCCGAGUUCACGCAUACCAUUAUCCAUCGAGACGUGAAGACAACUAAUAUUUUGCUAGACGAAAACUGGAUUGCAAAAGUUUCAGAUUUCGGAUUAUCCAAAGCAGCUUUCAAACAGGAGGUCAGUACUACUAUAGUGAAGGGAACUUGGGGUUAUUUAGAUCCAGAAUAUGCAAUAUGCCAAAUAUUAACAGAAAAAUCUGAUGUGUACUCAUUUGGUGUAGUAUUAUUUGAAGUCUUGUGUGCUCUGAAGCCGCUUGAUCGAAAUUUGGUGGAAGAACAUAUGAACUUAGCCAUCUGGGCUGAAAAAUGCAUUCAAAAUGGAAACAUUUAUCAAAUAAUUGAUCCUUAUUUGAAGGGGAAGAUAGCUCCACGGUGUUUCAAAAAAUUUGUGGAGAUCGCAUUCAGUUGCGUUCAUAGCAAAGGCAUUGAACGGCCCAAUAUGAGAGAUGUUAUGGAAGAACUUGAGUUUGCACUGAAGCUGCAAGACGAUGCAGAAGCUGAGAAUAUGGGAAUCAGUCCUGAUGGUGAAAUAGUCCAUCCUGAUGUAUCUUUUUUCCCUGCCCAAUGUGUUGAUAUUGCCGACGGACCUCAGCCAGACUCAACUUCAUCAACUGAUUUUGAUACAAGUAGUUCAACUACGGGUGUGUUUGGCUCAAGGAUUGGCUGAUAUAUUUUUUUUUGUUUUCAGCUUUUGACAAUUGUUAAUUAGCAAUUAAUGCUCUACAUAUGUUUUCAAAUAUUUGUGGUUAGAAACAUUUUCUAAGACAUUUCAAUUAUAAUACUUAUUCAUUAAACAUUAUUUUUCUUGUUUUGGGGUUAAAAGUAGAAUCAAAAUUAUUUGUAGUUUGAAGCUUUGAGUGAUUUAAAGUUCUAAAGACAGACAGGAUCAGAGAGAAGGAAAUGAAAGGCAGCCAUGGCCCCAAGCUCUAAAAAAAAUUUUCAAUUUUCCUUUAAAAUUAGAUAAAGUUUUUGAAUUUUUUUNNNNNNNNNNNNNNNNNNNNNNNNNNNNNNNNNNNNNNNNNNNNNNNNNNNNNNNNNNNNNNNNNNNNNNNNNNNNNNNNNNNNNNNNNNNNNNNNNNNNNNNNNNNNNNNNNNNNNNNNNNNNNNNNNNNNNNNNNNNNNNNNNNNNNNNNNNNNNNNNNNNNNNNNNNNNNNNNNNNNNNNNNNNNNNNNNNNNNNNNNNNNNNNNNNNNNNNNNNNNNNNNNNNNNNNNNNNNNNNNNNNNNNNNNGGAUUUACUCGUUUUGGUCCUUUUUCAGCUGUAAGCACUCUAUAUUUUCACCUAUUCAAAAGAAACAUGACAAGGAUUAUAAAAUGUGGUGCACUUGGCAAAAUGAGGUAUCAUUUAGAUGCUAUACUAUAGGAACUAUGGCCCCAAAGUGUGUGCAUAAAAUGCCCACAUCAUCUACCCCCUGAAAAGCCCAACUCUCAUUGAUUUCGGGAAAUCACAUUGGAGAACCCAACACCAUGGAAGGAUAGAUCUCAACAACCUCAAAAUUACAAAGCUAAUUUUAUGUGUAACUAUGGAGACAAGAUCCUUAUUUUAACUGUCAUAAGAGCUAUUCAUCACCGAGUAAAACUAACAAGACCCUUCUGCAUCAGAAAAACUAAUCACAUCACUUUUAGUGAUGAAACAGUUGUGGGUUCCUUACUCCAACCCAAAAUAAAAUAUUUUUGGAACUGAUAUUUCCAAUUUUUUGGGACUUUUUCUUGUCAUUUUUGGUUUAGAAGGUAUAGAAUAAAAGUAGUUAAAGAGAUUUAAUAAGUUUAUCAACGGGUAAUUGGAUUUUUUUUGUUAUCAGCAAAAUAAAAUAUUUUAUUAAUUUGUUUUUAAAUGCUGUAAAAAUUUAGCAAAUUCAAUAUGCUAAAACCCGAACUAGAAGAUUGCCCACUUACAUCCAAAUGCUGUAGUUAAACACAAAAAAUUGAUUUUUGGAUGAAAGAAAUUAUUAAUUUAAAAGUCUACAAUACAGAAAAGAGAGAAUCACCGAAAUAGUUAAACAGAAGACCAAAAAAUAACUUUGCUUGUGCCAUAAACUAAGUUAUGAUUCUUAAAAAAUGAUUACACUAAAAGUUUAAAAUAUUUUUAUUACGUAGCCUGCAGUCCACCCAUUGAACCUCCUAGUGCAUCAAAAAGUUUCAAAAUAUUUUUGAUGGGAACACAACCACUUAUGCUGUUUCCACCCCUAAAGUACAAGGAUGAAAUAAUGUAUUUAGCAAAAUCAGAGGUCCAAGUAAUUACCUAAGUCUUUUUAGAGUAAUUUUUACGCCCAUAUAUAUAAGUUAUUUUUGAGAAUACCUUUAUGUCCUAAAAUAUAAGUCGUUUUUUGGAAAUUAUUUUGUCCCAAAAUAUAACUCAUUUUAAGUAUUUUAAAAAGUAAUAAAUGAUAUUUUUCCAAUGUUAUCCCUAUAUAAUAACUAUAUAAUUAUCGGUUUUGAGAUAAAUGAUAAUUUGGUCAAAUUACUCCUAGGUUUGUUAUAAUUUUAGGAGAAUUGAUUGAUUCCUUAAUCCUUGUGCAAAAAUCCUAAACGAUUUAUAUUUUGGGACAAAAUGAGUAUUAACGAGUAAUUAAUGAAAUUCUUUUAAUUUUACCCUUAUACAUAUAUAUAACACACAUAUAUAUAUAUAUAGAUAUAUACAAUAACUUAAUCGUGUUAAUGAACUUUUUGCUAUAAUUUAAGAAAAUUUAUUGUUUACUUAAUCACUGUGUAAAAAUUUAAAAUUUGUAAAUAGUAUGAGUACUAAUUAAUAACCAAUAAUUUUCUCUGGAAAUUUUUCCCGAAAAGUUGCUUACCAUACAAUUGAUGAUUGGUUCGUUGCCAAUUUGAACUAUUCUGAUUCAGUGGUUUAAAUGAGUUUAGAAGUAUAUGCAAUUGGGUAAAUAAAAACAAAGGUAAGCAUAUAUAUAAUCAACGACACCACUGAUUUGGUCUACCGCAGGAGACCCAUGAAUGCGAAUUCAUGAAAAUUGCUUGUCCACUCCAAGUCUUUCACGUCUAUGGCAUUUACUUCUGCAUUAUUGGUAUAACAAUUAAUGCAUACACUCACCAUUGAAUUUCUAAAAUAAUGUUCUAUUUUAUUUGAUUGUUAUUACUUUUUGGAAUGUUUCAAAAUGUUUAUAAGAUUUCUAAAUUUAUAUAUUUAAAUAAUUAUUUUUUUAUAUUCAUUCAUUAAAUAAAUUUUUAUUAAUAUCUUAACGAGUUAAGAAUAAAAAAUAGCAAAAUAAUUUUUAUUAACUAAAUGAAUUUUCUGUUGAAUUUUGUUUUCUUCUAACCGGUUCAUCUCUUUCAAUAGUGAAUACAUGUUGCAAAAGUAACAUCAUGCUCUUAUUUUUAGACAUGACCAUGGUUGCAGACAGUGCUUCCACUAGAAUAAUUUUAAGUUAAUUCAACUCUCUUUUUUCUGUAUUUGUUUAACACAUAUACAUACAUUGGUGUAAAUCAAUUCAUAAAGUUCAAAUUAUUUAUAUUUUUUAUCUUUUUUUAAAAAAAUUAUACAUUAAUUUUGGAUUAAACUUUAAUACAGAAUAAUUACUAUUUAUAAAGCUAGUGAUCGAGGGGACUCGAACUUAAAACCUUUCAUUUUUCACGUAAAUAAAAAAUAACCAGAUCAUCACUUGAUUGGUUAUUUGUUUGGAUUAUUAUUGAAUUAUUUAUUGCUCAAAAUAAUAUUUUAUUGUCAUUAUCAUUGUCAUUAACAAUUCCUCAUUCAAUCAAUAUCAACAAGAAAAUAAGUAGAUAAGCAAAAGUAUAAGUUAGUGGUAAGUGUAUGAUAUGUGUUAUUUUAUAGUAUUUUUAAUAAAAAUUCACUUUCCUAAACGAAAACGAAGAUAUUCCAGAAAGUCUACAUAAAUAGAGAGACUAGCCAUAAAGACGAAAUCCAUUCAUUGUAUAUUCCAUCUUUUUUCUAUUGUUUUUCUCUCUCUCUUCAAGACUUCAAGUGCUCAAGAUUUGUGUGAAGAUUCAAGGAAGCUGUCCAGAAUUAUAUGUUGACUAGUUUUUAUCUCUAAACUCUUAAUCUUGUUUUUACUUUUCACAUUCAUAUUGAUUAUGGAAUUAUUCUCAAAUUCAAUUGAGUUUUAUUUAAUUACUAUGUCGAACUAAAUUCUCAUACUAGGAAUUUGAUGUAGCUUAAUUUCUUUUACAAUUUAUAAUAUUAAAUUUGCUUUUCUUUGUUCAAAGUAUAAUUUAUUAUUGAACUUAAUGCUUCCAGACAGAGUUUCUCCACUGAAUUGAUUUAUUUCAUUAAUCACUAUCGGGAGAAGGGUUUUUGAUAUGAAAAAGGUAAUAAAUCACAUGAGAAUAAUAACUUGAUGCGGAAGCUAUAUGGUUUGACUCAUGGGGAGUUUUCAUAAGUUAAUGACCUUAGAUUAUGAAUUCACAAAACAAACCAUAAAACUUAAUGAUUUAAUUCAUGUUUGAUUGCGCUAUUGGAAGAUAGGUAAUUAGACCGGGUUAAAAUAGCUAAAAAUAAAUCGGGAGAGCUUGUUAGUAAUUUUAGGGUUGUUUCCUCUACUUGAACAAUUAAAAUUGAUUAACAAACUAAUAAAAUAAAUUGGAUAGAAUUAAGUGAAACAAAAUAUCUAGUAGCUUUUAAUCCUUGUUUUCUUUUACUCAAAAUUGCCUUGCUUUAUUUCUUUUCAUUCUCUUUUAUUUGUUAAAGUUAAUUUCUUAAAAUAAUUUUCCUUAUUGCCGUUUAAAUAAUAGUAGGUUAAUAUAAUUUUAGUACUUGGUAUACAAUUCUCGCGGAAAUAAUACUCUACUCACUUUUUAUUAUUUGUUGUGAUUUCGCAUAUUUGCAAAAAUCACUAUCAACGUACAUAUGAGCUCGUCCAGACUUUUCCAAUGAACUUAUAGAAAGUGGAAGGAAGCUACAUAGGGACAUGUAGAGCUUCAAUUUUCGGUGCUUCCGGAUUACAUGAUUAGAAGCAUCUGCAAUAUCUUUCUGCAUUGUUUGCAACUUACAAGGUCUAUUUUUCCACUACAAUGAUAGCCAAGAAGGCUUACAAGUGGACUUAAACACAAGUUUUUGAUAUAUAAUUUUCAAAUCUUUUUAUUGAAAGCACACUUGGAUAUAUAGAUUUUGAAUACUCCCAAUCAGGAAUUUUAACCAGAAAGAGUAAUGUUUAUUGUUGCAAGCCUUAAUUGGGUUUGAGAAUGGAAAAUUAGAUGUUGAAGGUGUACGAUGCACAGCUCUAAAUUGCAACGAUGACAACCCAUUUCGUUUUGAGCAUCUCUCCAUCCAUGGCUUAUCUUGUGUUUGAUCAAAUGACAGAGAGUGAUUUUAUUUUAUUAGAAAUGAAGAGGAAGGAGAAGUCUAUGUUGGCACUAUUUUUGGUCUGUCGCUCUCCCUCGUGCAUUUGACAUUCACAUGCGCUUUGCCAGACAUACAUAGUUCUACUAAAAUUUUUUUCCUUUCUUUUUUCCCCUUUCUUUCUACUUCUUGAAUUUAAUUCAAAAUAAUUUUUAAUAAUUAUUUCUUCAAAAUAAAAUUCAAAUCUCCUCAAAAAUUCAAAUUUCCUAUACCCCCUAAACCUUUAUAAGUAGUUGGAAAAUAUGGAAAUUAAAUUCAAACAACAUUCAAAGUCCUAAAUGUUUAGUGUUUUAGUUAAAUUAAAAUUUCAUCUCUAUUAAUUCUACCAUUGGGUAAUAAAACUUUUACAGUUGCUUUUAAAGAUUAACUAAGCACUUUUUAUAAAACAUUAAAUACUCUAAUACUUAACAUUUUAUGGAGAUUAAUUGAAUAAUUUUGAUAAUUACACUCACUGUUUUUUUUCUCAAAUUCAUAUCUUAUUUCAACAAAGAUGACACGUUAAAGAAAUGACUAGCAAAUGGAUAAAACUACAAGGUUUUUUUGCCGAAGCAUUUUUGGACGUCAUCAAAGAAGAUUUCCCAAUUCCCAUAACGAAUUGCAUGCUAUAAUUGCUAUUGUUUCAGCAAUGAUUUACAAUUUGAACAAAUGUUUUGGAUUUUUUUGUCAAUAACUCAAAUAGCAAUGAACAUUUCCACUUGAAGGGAGGAGAAAGGGAAAGAGAAAACAAGUAAUUGCACAUAUAUGCCAGACGUUGAACUUACAUUGCUAAACAUAAUAAUAAUUGUUACAGAACUUCUUGGAGUCUACUUGCAUAUAAUUGGAACUAUUUUCCUCAUUUACGCACAUUUUCUCAUUCAUUUCACAUCUUUACCCCCUAUCUAUAUAUCCCCACAUAAAACUAAUACUGAAAAUUCUAAAUGCAUAAAAACUAAACUAAAUGUAUGCUAGAUUGUUCUUGAUCUAGUUCCAUUCAAUAACCAAUCACACAUUAGUGGAUUCAGGACAUAACCAUAACAAGUAAAAUUUAUAAAUUAAGUCUUAUUUUUUGCUAACACAUUCAUUUCUCCUGCAACAGUAUCCUUUGCUAUCAAAAUGUGGCUACAUAGGCCGUCUAGAACUUCAGCCAUCAAUUUCAAAUUUUGGGUAUGAACUCAAGCUUGAAAACUUCCCAGGAGGACCAGAAACAUUUGAAACCAUUCUAAAGUUUUGUUAUGGACUUCCAUUAGACUUAAAACCUAACAACAUAGCUGCACUAAGGUGUGGAGCAGAAUUCUUGGAGAUGAGUGACGAACUUGAAGAUGGAAACCUCAUUGCAAAGACAGAAGUUUUCCUCACAUUUGUAGUCCUUUCCUCAUGGAAAGAUACCAUCAUUGUUCUUAAAUCCUGUGAAACUUUAUCUCCAUGGGCAGAAAAUCUCCAGAUUGUUAGAAGAUGUUGCGAUAAAAUUGCAUGGGAAGCUUCUAGAGACAAUUCAACAAUUUUGAGCUUAUUUAACUUUUAGUUGUUCGAAUAGAUUUUCAUGAAAUGUUGAAAGUCAAACGUUACAUAAGUUAACUUUUCACAAAAUACUACUUUAACCUCUAAAAGCUAGUUCAGACAUUAUAUUACCGAACACUAUAAAAAGUUAUUGCCGAACAUAGCUCAAGAGUAGCUCAGUAACUUUUCACAAAAAGUUAUUCCAAUCCAUGUUUAGAUGAAUAGUAGAGUGUAAUUUGAUUUUUGAGGGCCGUCAGAUUAGGCUCUAACUUAUAAUCCAACGACCGUUGAAACAAAUCGAGUAUUACCAAUCCAACCAAAAAAAAGAGCCCAUUCGAAAAGAAGUUUGAGAAGGUGGGCCUUGAUUAAAAGCCCAAGAUCAUGUAGAACUGGCUGCUCAUAUGCUUUGAGUUUUGACAAGUAGUACACGAAAUACAAAUAUCUUACAACCUUUUCAAAGAAACUUAACCAAAUGAAAUUAUGCGCCUUCAUCUUUAUCUCUAAAUUUAAAUUCCACAUACAGGCCUAACAGAUAAUAUUGUCCAGAAACACAAGAAUAUUGUUAUAUGCCUUAAGACCAUGAUUUGCGGUUGAAUGGUAAAAGCUAGACCUGAAGUCAGUCAAUACAGAAGUUCCUGCUUCCAAGCCAGAUGGUUAAGUGAAGUGGACACCGCUCUGCCUAACAGAAUGGUCACAGUAAUCUAGAACCAUAACCAAAAAUUGCAAGACCAUGCUAGUAUAACAAAUAUGCUUUAAAAAAUUUAUUGAUGGUUGCUGAUCCAAUAUCUAUUUUGAAAUAUAAAAUAUUAAAAUUCAAAACUAUUCACUCUGACAAAUUUUUAAUUAUAAUUUUAUGAAGAAUUAUUUUACUAUGAUAUAUUGAGAGAUAAAUUCUCUCGUGUUUAUAGAGAAGUUAAUUUUAGUGUGGAUUGGUUCAUAAAUUAUAUUAUGAAAUUUUUUUUAUGAGAGUUCGUCAUUUUCUCUUAACUUCUCCGUGUUUGAAUGAAUGACUUUUUAUAAUAUUAAUGAGUGAUUAAACACUAACUUUUGUCUAAAGCAGGGGGCCUAAGAAUGCAACUUCAUGAAAAUUGCUUGUCAUAUUUUUUUCCACUCCGACUCAUUCAAGUCUAUGGCAUUUUCUUCUGCAUUAUUUGUACAAGAAUAGACCGGCCAUUAAAAAUUUUCCCAACUAGUCAAUUAAACAUUGAAUUUUCAAGUGAUACUCUCAUUUUUAUUAUUUCCAUUUAUAAUUUUAGAUGCGACAGCUGAAAUUAAGCUAUGUGAAGCAAAAUAAAAAAAAUAUAUAUAUUAAGAUUUUUUUUCUUAGGAGUAUUUCCAUAUCCUUUCAAUAUGAAAAUAACCUCUCUUAUCUUUAAUAUAUAUGCUUCAAACUAAAUCUACAAGGAGAUAAAUUGAAUAAUAAUGUAAAUAUCCAUAUGCGAUUGGCAUGAACAUCAAAUAUUUAACUUUUUUUCAGCCAAUUAUUUCAUAAUAUUUAUUCUUAUAUCACUUCAAAAUUUUAAUUAAAUCAAGUAAAAAUUCAUUUAAAACUAUAAGUAAAAAAAUUUUGAACUAAGAAAAAGAUUUAAAGAACGCAAUAAGCCAUUGAAUUUUAAGGAAUUGUUCAUAAUUUAAAACCUUAAACACUUACAUAUUUUCAAAUCUUAAAUUUCUAAUUUUACUGCACCAAUCUAAAGAGAGCUCGAGUGAACUAAUUUCUGUUAUCAGUAGGGAAUUAUUGCUCAGAAUAAUCGAUGGAUAGCACUCAUAAAUUUUGAUGUCUAUCAAGAAAGCAACACAUUUUUCCACGACACUGAAAAGGAAAAUUCAUUUUAUUCAGUGGGAUAGCGGAGAAAAUAACAAAAUAAAUCAUAAUUCAGCUGGGCCACAAGGCCUAAAUUUAGAUAAUAAAUUUAUGAUAGAGAGAAAAAUCUCUAAACAUGCAAAUUAAUAUCUCCCGAAAUGAUAGAGAGAAAAUGAAAAUCUAAUUUAGAUAAUAAAUUGCAGAAAUAAAAUUAACUAGAAAAUAAAAAUAAAGUGGAAAGAACGGUUCAAUACGACUGAGUCCUAAAUUUGGGAGUCAAUCCCAGUAAGGUCUUCCUUAACCCCAUUAAUAAGUUAGAAUGAAAAUUGCCGAAGCACUCCCAAUUUCAAUUUUUUGUUCCAAAAUUUGCUAGAAACUAUGCCGUAUAAAGAAAUGUUCUUCCACUUCUAUAAAAUAAAAUAUUUUUCCAAGAAAAGAUUCUCUUAUAAUUUUGAACUUCAACCAACAGCAACCUAACGGAAAAUUCUACUAUGCAUACUGCAGUUCUCUACCUUCUUCUCGUUCUCAAUCCCCUUCUUUCAACCAUUGCAAUCCAAAACAGGUCGCCUUACACCCCUACGGAUCUAAUUCU
rnacentral:lncRNA from 1 species